rnacentral:rRNA from 1 species
AUUGAACGCUGGCGGCAGGCCUAACACAUGCAAGUCGAACGGUAACAGGGAUCAGCUUGCUGAUUCGCUGACGAGUGGCGGACGGGUGAGUAAUGUCUGGGAAACUGCCUGAUGGAGGGGGAUAACUACUGGAAACGGUAGCUAAUACCGCAUAACGUCGCAAGACCAAAGAGGGGGACCUUCGGGCCUCUUGCCAUCGGAUGUGCCCAGAUGGGAUUAGCUAGUAGGUGGGGUAACGGCUCACCUAGGCGACGAUCCCUAACUGGUCUGAGAGGAUGACCAGCCACACUGGAACUGAGACACGGUCCAGACUCCUACGGGAGGCAGCAGUGGGGAAUAUUGCACAAAGGGCGCAAGCCUGAUGCAGCCAUGCCGCGUGUAUGAAGAAGGCCUUCGGGUUGUAAAGUACUUUCAGCGGGGAGGAAGGGAGUAAAGUUAAUACCUUUGCUCAUUGACGUUACCCGCAGAAGAAGCACCGGCUAACUCCGUG